CCUACGGGGAGCAGCAGUCGAGAAUCAUUCACAAUGGGGGAAACCCUGAUGGUGCGACGCCGCGUGGGGGAAUGAAGGUCUUCGGAUUGUAAACCCCUGUCAUGUGGGAGCAAAUUAAAAAGAUAGUACCACAAGAGGAAGAGACGGCUAACUCUGUGCCAGCAGCCGCGGUAAUACAGAGGUCUCAAGCGUUGUUCGGAAUCACUGGGCGUAAAGCGUGCGUAGGCUGUUUCGUAAGUCGUGUGUGAAGGGCGCGGGCGCAACCCGCGGACGGCACAUGAUACUGCGAGACUAGAGUAAUGGAGGGGGAACCGGAAUUCUCGGUGUAGCAGUGAAAUGCGUAGAUAUCGGGAGGAACACUCGUGGCGAAGGCGGGUUCCUGGACAUUAACUGACGCUGAGGCACGAAGGCCAGGGGAGCGAAAGGGAUUAGAUACCCUUGUAGUC
rnacentral:rRNA from 1 species